rnacentral:rRNA from 1 species
GACGAACGCUGGCGGCGUGCUUAACACAUGCAAGUCGAACGGAAAGGCCCUGCUUUUGUGGGGUGCUCGAGUGGCGAACGGGUGAGUAACACGUGAGUAACCUGCCCUUGACUUUGGGAUAACUUCAGGAAACUGGGGCUAAUACCGGAUAGGAGCUCCUGCUGCAUGGUGGGGGUUGGAAAGUUUCGGCGGUUGGGGAUGGAUUCGCGGCUUAUCAGCUUGUUGGUGGGGUAGUGGCUUACCAAGGCUUGGAGGGGUAGCCGGCCUGAGAGGGUGACCGGCCACAUUGGGACUGAGGUACGGCCCAGACGCCUACGGGAGGCAGCAGUGGGGAAUAUUGCACAAUGGGCGGAAGCCUGAUGCAGCAACGCCGCGUGGGGGAUGACGGCCUUCGGGUUGGAAACCGCUUUCGCCUGUGACGAAGCGUGAGUGACGGUAAUGGGUAAAGAAGCACCGGCUAACUACGU